rnacentral:rRNA from 1 species
GCUUGUCUCAAAGAUUAAGCCAUGCAUGUCUAAGUAUAAACUGCUUAUACUGUGAAACUGCGAAUGGCUCAUUAAAUCAGUUAUCGUUUAUUUGAUGGUCCCUUACUACAUGGAUAACCGUAGUAAUUCUAGAGCUAAUACAUGCACAAAGGCCCGACUCACGAAGGGCUGUAUUUAUUAGAUGGAAACCAAUGCGGGGCAACCCGGAUUAUGGUGAUUCAUAAUAACUUUCAGAUCGAUCGCAAGAUCGAUGCAUCAUUCAAGUUUCUGCCCUAUCAGCUUUGGAUGGUAGGGUAUUGGCCUACCAUGGCUUUAACGGGUAACGGAGAAUUAGGGUUCGAUUCCGGAGAGGGAGCCUGAGAAAUGGCUACCACAUCCAAGGAAGGCAGCAGG